CCUCAAACCGAGGUCCACAGAGUACAAAAUUAUUGCCGACCUCCCAGACUCCAACAAAGGAGCUGGGGAUGAUUACUUCAUUACCUCGAGAAACUGAGAGUUCGAUCCAGACGAGGACCUCCACCCCUACCCUCUUCCUCGAACAAUUUUUGUAGAGGGUGAUGGUAAGAGCCCUGUGCUCAUAUUUACUUGUUUUUAAAGUCUUCAAUACUUUGUUUAUUCUAAUAUCUAUUUUUUCUUGCAGCUCUUCCAAAACCAGAAAAAGGCUUCUGAAAGUCUUUUUUCCCCAGCAAAGGUCUGAAGAAGCUACUGGACCUUCUAGCCCACAAGCGCAAAGCUCCCCUGCUACUCAACUUUAUCCCGACCUAUAAGUCGGUUCUUCCCAACGUUCCAAAGAAGAAGAAGAAGAGUCUGUCUCCUCUUUCCACCACAACUCCUCAAGCUGCCUCCACAUCUCGGCCAGAUCAAGGAUCGACUUUUGAUCCAGCAGAGUAGCCAUCAACUUCGGCUCCUUAUCUGAUCCCAAUAUCCCAACGUUAACGCCGGCGACGAACUGUUUUUGCUGCCGAGAUGGGCCGCCAGAAGGCAGUUGCUAAUGAUCUUUUGGCCAAUAUUCCUGACGAAGUUGGUGAUCAACCAGCACAAACCCAGCCUCAACCAAAGCCGAAAAAACGCCUGAAGAAGGCUCAGCCAAAGGCAACGGUAACUCAGAUUGACACUGAGGACACCUUGCCAAUCUCCAAAUUGGCUGAGAGUGAUAAGUCCAAUUCUGCUGCUGAAAAGAGGCCUGUCGAAACCCAACCAUCCGAGUCUGCUAGAUCCAAGAGGCCGAGGUCAUCAUCUGCAAUCACCUCGGGGUCUUUGAAGCAUGAUUCCCUCUGGGCCCCCGGAUCACAUUAAAGGACAGGCCAGUCAAAGCUGGUGAUAGCGCCGACGAUGUUAAUGUCGGCGUAGCCCUUAGUACCGCUCUGCUUCUUCCCGGCGAUCUCAACCGGAACGCCGAUAUGAGCGAGUAUGAAAAUUUUGCCCUGAUGCUCCAGCACUCUGUUCAAGCCAUCCAACAUACUCAUUCUUUCUCACUGCAAGCGUUUGAGAAUUGGAAGGAGCUGGCCGAUAAGAAGAGGGAGGCUGCUAGUCUACAGAAGACUAAUAAAAACUUGCAAU